GCACUUCCCAAACCGAGCCCCGGCUCCUAUAUAGACGUUGCCGGUUCGCCGGCUAUGGCAAUAAACGGGCGGUGUAAUAAACCCAUUGGACCCGGGGGCGGUACCCGGCGCCUCCACCAAAAACGGCUCAACCGACGAGCCGCUUUUGAUGGGGGCGAAAUAGGAUCGACAAGGGCGUAAAGAUCGACUUUUUGCUCGGCAUGAUACCACCGUUAUCGGGUCAACAGAGUAGUUGCAAACGACAACAACGCUCAGGGUUACGCUGUCGCUGCUUAAUCGCGGUGCCAGAAACCCAAAUUAAGUCCUUACGGGUAGCACUGUAAGGCGGGGCUCGGAGGCGCCUGGCAACAGAAGCCUCCACU
rnacentral:tmRNA from 1 species